AAGUCGCCGUUGGUGUACAAACCAAGAGGACGGAGCGGGACGACGGGGAGGGUUAAGAUGGUGCGUUGGGACGUCGGCGCUUUGUCGCGGUCACGGGGCUGUCAAUCACCGGUGAUAGGAGACGACACAUUAAUCUCGCGGAGACCCCGUUGACCGCAUCCUCUUCUCUCCCCUUGCGGUUAAAUAGUCCCCACAAUUCUGUCUGCCGCUUAGCAGCUGUACAAUCGUCUUUUUAAUCCUUUUUUUGCCCCUUCACUCUAGCAACACUUUAUCAUUUCAGAAAAUCUAAAACAGCCGGGAAAUAUAUUUUAAUCUCGUUCUAAGCGACAUGAAGAGAUUUUCAAGUAAAUUAUGACGAAAUUAUAGAAAAUUAUGACAAAGUUAUGUACAAAGUACUUUUAUGCAAAGCAUUUCCGAUCACUGUACUUUCAUUGACCUGAAAAUUCUUCGAUCAAUCUUGAAUCAAUUUUCUUUAUAAUAAAUUUGCUAAAAAUGUCUUUAAAUAUCUAAUCAUCAAUAUCUUCGUGAAAGGAAAUGUAUGAAGUUAACUGAAUAAAGUACCUCAUAGAAUUCCUACGUGCGUAAAAUUCUCAGUUUUGAAUACUCAUAAGUUAGCUUUUCCAUUCGAAGGGGAAUGCCCUUUUGACUUGUUUCCAAAAAGGAGGGAAGUGGAAAGUUUUCGACUUGACAGGCCGAUCACGAACAGCGACGCUUGCAAAAACUGACCGCGACUGACAAAUGCGUAAGAAAGAGCAACUGGACGUCUUUACAGAUGAAAAACGGACGUCGGGGUUAUCUGUAUUAUUAAGUGGAACGUUUCUCGGAAGAAUGGCGCCAUUUGUUUGCCCCGAUAUCGCGGAGACUAAUCCGCGUUUCGCCAGACUACACCGGACGAGAAAAAGGUGUCAGCCACUCAUUUUUCAAAAUUACAUUACUGUAUCUCUAAAUAUGCAAUUCACACAUAUAGUGAUAUUGAUUAUACAUUAUAAGUUAUUAAUAUUAAUACAUUCCUAAUUCUAAAAGAGAAUUAAGAAACCACCACGAAAACAAAGAGAGAUUUUAUAAUAAUAAAUAAUACAAUAAAAAUUAAGACUUUCUCUUAAUUUCUUAAAAUACAUAAUAUUGUUAGUUUGACGAGGAAAAUUAUAAAAGCUAUAAAUUUCAAAUCAACGUCGCUCAAUCUAUUCACUUGCUCUCUUGUAGCUUUCCUAUUUUAAUCGUAGAAAAAAAAGUAUUAAUCGAUUUAAGCCGUGGAUAAAGUUAACAGACGUCGGCGAAACCGGUCAUUAGGCAAAUGAAAUUCGGAGUCACACUUGGCGCUCAGUCGCGGCGACUAAGUGAGAAAAUAAGGGCCGACUUACACUCGAGCGCGAGCGAAGACGGAAAGCACUCUCUCUCGAUGCUCGGGCUUCGUUCAACGGCACAUUAUCUCGCGGCACUCGAAUUUCAGGGCAAACCGCCAAGGUGGGAGUAAACUCGAAAGAGAUUUAUCGUCCCGGUCUCACUGAGGACGACGCGUCGUCCUCGCGAACGGCGAUGCAACUCGUCCGCCAAUUCGUGGCCCACCCAGCUGAUCGAUCGCAUAUCGCGAUAAACGCAUUAUUUAAUUACCACGAGUAAUUACCGAUUAUUACACGGCGCGGGCUGUCCCGGCGCAAUGUCCGCCAUUAAUUACAGCGAACGAUCACGGCCGAAACGCUCGUUACGCAGCACUCUUUAAUCGGCUCGGUUCUCCUCUCCUCUCCUCUCCUCUCGUAGAGGCACUUCCGCAGUGAGACCGCGCUCUCGAUCAUGAUUCUCGUCCAUCGAUCGAUUACGAUCGAUUACGCGCGGAUUACGGUGAUUCAUAGUGAAACUGACCACAGUAGAGUUAGAUCACGAUCAUAUUGUGCUUGUUAAUAGCGGGAAAGUGCAAGUUUGCGCGGACGGUUAAUAGAUUUUUCGAAAUCAGUUCAAGCGCUGCUAGAAAUAAGUACUUCGCUCGUUAUUUAGGCGGGAAUAAAAUUUUAUUACCUUAUUAUAAAAAUAGAGAUAUAAAGACCAACAUAAUUCUGUACAGUAAUAAUAAAACAUUUUGUGUGUUACGAUAUGAAAACUAAAUUUAUUAAAAUCAUAAAAGUCGUUCUAUCUCCCAUACCGACUCGUUUUCGAUUUCUGUCUGAUUACUUCGUCGCGACGUGUAUUUUUCAUCUCGAAUCUCAUCGGGAGGAAUCUUCGGCCGCGCGGCUCCUCGAGAUAAUUCGACGUUAUCGCGAGGGUAAAUAAGCUCGCAUCUAUCCAGGGCUGCGCUAAUAGAUUCCCCCAGGAUGCUGUAUCUCGGGAUAAAUGCCUCCCCCAGCGACACCGUUCAUCAUAACCGAAGUUGGACAGGCUAGCGAGGGCCGAGGGGGUUAAAGGGACGCGGCAAGGAUGGAAACUUGGUACGAUAGAGAGAAACGGAGCAGAUAAGAGAACUCGACAAUCCGUGCAGCGUCCGAGGUGGUAAUCAGAGAUCCCUCCUCGUCGUUCGUCCGUGGAAGCAACGGGACUGGGAAUCGACCGAGAAAAGGAGGGGGAGCCCUACGUUUCUCCUGACGGAGGACGAGAGACAAAUAACGUUUGCGCGUCGACUAGAUUGAGAAGCUCGAGGUGUCAGUGAAUGUACAUUAAUCUGUAUCAGCCGGCGCCAUCAAUAUUUAAUCCUAAUCCCGAAAAUUGCUGCGCGAGCAAGUAAGACCGAGAACUAUGGCGCGCCGAUGGGACGCGAUGUCCUUCCGUCGAUGUCAUAUUCGGUACGCGACUGUUCCUUUGAAUUUUCCUCCAAUCUCAUUUUGUAUAGCGUACGAAAAGUUCAAACUUCGUAUCAUUAACGUUCCGAUUAAUGAAAUAGAUAACACAGUGAUUUAAAAAAUUACAUUUUUUUUACACUUUUUAAAAUUCUCUGUAUAUCAUCUUUGAUGAGUACAUCAUCUGAGAAGAACUAAAAUUAGAAGAGUCUAUAUAUUUUCAUAAUUGACGUUUUACAACCCUGCGAUUGCACGCGUUUACGUCUCCAUACGGGGAGAAUAUUUCUUACACGCCAGAAAACCUGACGGGAUUACAUCGCACGGCAUACGAAAACGUGUUUGCAAUUUUGAACGACGCGUUUCUGCCAACGACGGCCCCUCGCAAGGCGUCGUCGCGACAGGCGUCUUAACCUGACGUAGUGCGUGUCGUCGUUACCGCGGCCGGCAGUGAAAAUGGUUUGUGUGCCAGAAAGUCGCCAGUAAGUUAAACAGCGGCCGUGGCACCGAGGCGUCGUAAAGCGCCGCGGCGCCUUCGUGUUUACGCGGCGACGUCGAGGCCCACCAACCGCGUCCGGUCCAACCCGUUCCUCAUUCCUCUCGCGCCCUCCGUCUCUCGUCUCGCGUAUGCAUCGGCUCUCUCGUCUCGCUCGCCCUCCCUGCCCUCGACGUCGCGGUCCGCGGUCCAGGUUCCCUCGCUUAUUCCACAUCUAUUUUCGCGCGCGUGACAAAUCUGUAUGCCCGCCGGAUUUAUCGAGCGACAUUCUGGCCGUCGUACGCCCGUCGUGCCCAUAUGGCAGAGCCCGGCAGCUAUUUCCGUCGUCCGGUGCACUUUGCUCGCUCCUUCGACAAGUGUUCCUACCUAUCGACGGGAUAAUCGAGAGGCUGAAUUAACCACGAACAUUAUUGGGUAAUUUAUUAACAACGCUGAUGUGUGUAAGGAAUUAUGUGGUGUCGUUAAAAUCUUUUUUAAUUGCAGUCCAAUCCUCGAUAAAGUUAUAAAAAAUUUUUGAUACAUAUCAAUAUUCAUAAUCAUCUAAAUACUCAUUGAUCGAGAGGAAUGUAAAUGUCCUCAGACGUAAAUGACUGCAAUCCUCCUUUAAAAGAUUUUGUCUAAUAAAUAUUCUCUCACUAUAUACGCUCAAACAAAAAGUGUCUGUUGUUUAUACAUAAGAUGUCAAAUAUUGGAACACUGUGGACAUCAAUAAUUAAAAUACUAAAUACUACUAAAUAUAUACAGUGUUUCUUUACAGCUUUCGCUUAGUAUUUUCGGAAGUACAAUAUUUCAUCGGUCUCUUAAGUGCAAUGCAGAAAUGUAUGCAGCGGCACAGCCUCCGCGUGCAAAAUAGCAAGCAGGCCAUCUCCGCCGUUCGGGCGCGUUAAUGGACCAGUGUAGCGAUUUCGGAGACGGGGAGAGUUUUCGCGUGUAGAACACGAUGACGAUGAGACAAUGAUGCGGCACAGCGGGACCGACGCGUCACACCCGAUGGAAUUUCGAGGAGCAUCACGAUGAGGACGACCUCGUCAUCUUUCUUUCGGCCGCCAAACCGGACGAUGAUUUAUGAGCGUGUAUUCCGUCGCGGGAAUUUGUCAGUCCGUUUCUCGACGCUGCCUAUAGGUGUUCUCUCACCCAUCCGAUAUCGAUCUUCUUUUUAUGCACAAAUACAUACGCGCUACGUUUGUAUGCAUAUAGAUGUGUAAAUUGAAGUCCCGGCGAGACGAGCGAGAGCAGCAUGGAUGGCUAUGGUCUUUCGUUCCCUUCGCGCCGAGAAAAAGUGGUAGAGUGGGAGGAAGGGUGCAAUAGGGUGAUCGGAGAUCGGCUUAUGAUAUAUCGCCAUUAACAUUUGUUUCGUAUUAGAACAAAUACUUGCGUAUUUUUAAGCUCUAAAAGACGCAUCUCAAUGUUCUUGAUAGAAUAAUGAAACCCCACGAUGAAGUUUUCAAGAACGAUCACGCACGUUUAAGACAAUAAUGGAAACCUGAUUCAUAUUAGUUGACGUGCUUUAUAUAAAAAAAUUCUGUUAAUUAAAAUUUUAAUACAGUAUUUUAAUAUAGUAUCGUAUAACAUUAUUAACUAUUCUUGUGUCAAAAUAUUUGGCAUCUGUAUAAUCAAAAAUCUUUGCAAAACAUCAGCUGCAAAGUUCAUAAAAUAUGUAUUAAAUGUAAAAUAUAAAAAUCUUAAGAUAAAAAAAAUGUUAUUUUAUAAUUUUCCAUAUUUUUUUUAGUUAUUUCGAGAACAUAAAUAAAACUGUAACUGUUCAAGCAUUAACAAACUAAGCAAAUUGCAAUGUCUGAAGAUUUUUAAUUUUCAGAUGUUUUUGUGAUAAAACUGAAAAUAGAAUUCUUAAAAACUAACACAGUCUCAUGAAACAUCACUAUCGAGGUCUGUAAUGAGGGUUCGGAUAAAUAAUUGCGAGUGCGUGUUUCACUGGAAUGGAAGGUAAAUCAUCCCCUGUCGCCUGGUGGAGUUCGGUCACAGGCCGAUGCGAAACAAAGACCGCGACAGGGGGUGGGGGAGGGGGCGAGUGCAACCCCCGCUCGUUCACGGCCGCCGUAAUUCACAGUUUGGUGGCGCGUUUAUUAACGGCGGCGCGGCGUUACUCCGGGCUACGCCUUUUUAAUGAUUUAUCGUGCACGCGCCGAGAUGUGCGUAGCCCUUUUGCGGGCCAAAGUUCGACGUCUUCGUCGGGGCCCCGCGGGGCCCUUUCCCUCCUUCACCUUCCGCCAGCUGCCGAUCGGUGAGAAGUGCAGAUGGAGGCGCAGAUGUUGCGUUUCAACCCUGUCACCGUUCGUAACUACACGGUUCCUCUUCUUGUUGUCGAGAGACGUCUUCCUCCUCUUAGCGUUAGGCGAAUCGUAAAAUUGGAUAUACCGACAGCUUUUCUGCCAAUUUCCUUUUUCCGUUCUCGGAUAGACCUCAAAACUAUUGUCCAAGAUGUGAAACGACGGCAAACGAGUUAAAAAAGAAUAAAUUACAAACAAUUGAUAAUAAGUUUAUUAUCGUGUCUGGACGAUCGACUGUUAUAUAAGGAAAUAUCGAUCUAAGAUUGAGUAAUCGAGGGUUAAUCAACGGGGACAAUCAAGUGUUGUUUUCUUUUAACGUGACUUCAUCGUGAUGCGCGAUACUAAUCGCCUCUGUCAAUGCGCUCGGCGGACCGAUCGCGGCGAGUUCUUCUUGGCGAAGGUUGAAAUGAGCCUCGCGUGGAUACAGCGAGCCGAGUAAUAAAGGAUACCACUCAUUAUCGACGGAGUGUAAUCGAUGGCUUUAUGACUCAGGUUCCGCCGCGAUGUGUACGCUCGGCACAGUAAAAAGACGUCGGAUAAACCGAAUACUGGACAGACGAUAAAGCGCGGUGAAAAACGUUUAAUUGGACUAGAUUGUGGAGAUGGUCAGGGUGGCUGGAGCGUAGAUGACCGGUUCGCGCAGGCACGUAAAGUAUUGAAGGCGAACUUCGGAAAAUUCUCUCUCUCUCUCUGCCUCUCGCCAAGCCGUACGCUAAAUUGCUCCCCCGGUGUAUUACCAGGAAGGGCGGACGGAAUUUAGAGUACGCGUAUCCUCUUAUCGUCGAGGUUACGCCGCGGCGGAAAGAAGGUCGCUAUAUACUCGACAUCGAGGCUUUAAUCGCGUAACUGUACCCCGCCGUCCGUUCUAACCCUUCAUUAGGCGCGCAUCUACUUUCCGUGAUUUUUUAUUUCAGCGACCUGCCGCCGCCCGUACCGCUCUCCCGCUCACCGGCGCGGAUAUCGUAUGUACGUAAAACGCGGCUUAAGUUAAUCCGCGUGUAAUGAUCUCACAAGGUUACUCCUCGAUCGUUCCCCAUGCUGAUGGCGCGUGCGCUUCAUCGUACUAGGGUAGUACCUGAGGUAGAUAUUACAAUGAUUCCUGAGGUACGAAGAGAGAGAGGGAGAGAGAGAAAAAGAGAGAAUAUUAAUAUUAAUAUUUUGCUCUUGUAAAAAAGGUUGAGCUUAAAAUAAUCUGCUAAUUUUCUGACAAGAGACGUGAAAAUGGAAAACGAUUUUCGACUACCAUCAAACGUCAGGCAGCCGAAGCCGAAUCUCAUCAAAUAGGUAAAGAUUUUACAAGAUAAGCUUUAUAUGAAUAUAAUUUUACGUUUAAAGCAAAUUCUCUUUUUUUCUCAUUCUCUCUUGAAAUUGACACUACGAUCGGACUUCGGACGCUUCACAUAUGCGAUACGCAUCUCUCGCGAGCACGGGCGGCCCAGGAAGCCAUCUUGUUAAACUCCAGGGAUUUCCGGGCGAGGACGAAAGGAUCAUUAGCGUCGGGCCGGAUUCAUCGCUCAUACGCGAGUUCCCGCGCGAUGAAAACUGCAUGGAGAAGAGACAGACACGUCCCGUCCCGUCGAUAUAAAUAAAGUAUCGAAGGGAUGGACACACUUCGGCUCGUCCGAACACAACGACGAGCCAAAUGAAAAAUGCCGAGACGGCCGAUCAAUGUAAAUAUAUUCAUGACGUGGGGUGGCCGAGCGGCCACAGGGAUGCCGGGAUAUACACGCGUGUACGCCGGGGUUUUAUAGGAUGGGGUCCGCUGGAGGACUCGAUGGCACUUGGACGGCACAUAAUUCACUCUUUGGCAGCUCAUUACAAUUUAAAAAGGCCUUUGUCAGUGCACUACUCGUGAUUUCGUUCACGGUCUCGUGGCCCUCGCGCAUCGACGCAUUUUUCGGUGGCAGCUAACGAUGCUCUACUUAGUUCGCUCGACACAUGUUAAAUUUUCGAUAUAAAAUGAGAAACACAAUUUAAAUCCGAUUACAUGAUGCUAAGAGCUUGAGCCGAAGUAAAUCAUCCAAAUUCGGUAUUUUUGAUAUUUAAACUAUUACAAAUAUAGCGUGUAUUAAAUAUAAUAUUUAAGAUCUUAUAAUUUUAUAUUUUUCAUGUUUGAAAAUUUUCUAACAAUUACUUAUUAGAAAGAAGAAAAUAACGCUAUACUCUUGUGACAGUGCACUUUUUUACGUGCGCCACAUCUCAAAUGUAAUCUAUUUAAUUAUAUUCGUUAUUUUCGACAAUAAUUCCGUCGUUACGCGUGAUCGACUUUUCGACCACUAUGAAUGCGUAUCACAGAUUAUUAUCGUAAUCAUUGACGGAUCAAUAAUGACAAGUUCGUUUUCUCCCGUCUACGAAACCAGUUUUAACAAAAAGUGUUGACGGACGAGAUUUCUAAUUUAAGUCAUACGUAUGACUAUGUCGAAAGAGAAAUAAAACUAUGUUCGCGUUUUUAAAAUUGACUUCGGCCUAUUACAGUCGUCUUCUGAUAUCGAUAACUUUGAAUUAAUGUACAUAAGAAUAUAUGUUAAUUUAUGAUGCAAAAAUACGAGACAUGUAGUUAUCGUUAUGUCAAGCAAUCAAUAUUUUUCUUAAUGAUACAGUAAAAACGUGCGUAUUAAUUACGUGAACAAUGAAUUUGUUUUCGACAUUUGUUAUGAUAUUCGAUAUCGCAGUAAGUUUAUGAAAAUUUCUGUUUUAAAACGCGAACAGUUAUUGAUAUAUGAUAUAUUCAAAACGAGUAUAUAACAAUAGUAACAGAUCCAUUACUCUUUUCUCGAUAUUCAUAUUCCUGCGAUGCCGCGCAAAAAUAACAAGCCCGCAGUUUAAUGGCUAAUUGGUUACGCGCAAACUUAAAAGCGCGCGCUGCAAAAAUUUAUGCAAAAUUCGGCUAAUCGGCGAGCAACCGACAAGUGUUUGAGCGCACGAUUAUCUCGUUGAUUACGCACCUCGCUCGCGUUUUAUGCCUUAACACGUUUGUUAAUCACCCUAAUCCGCCUUCGACGAGCAUUCGCGAACCCGGCAAUCCGGCGAGAGAAUAAUUACUACGUACGCCGGUUCGCAACGUGCGCCUUUUUUGCGCAACAGAACGCGCGCGAGAGAUUGCGACACCUCUUGUUCCGACGUAACGCGGAGAGUCGAAGCGGGGUGGAAAGAAAAAAAAAAAAAAAA
rnacentral:lncRNA from 1 species